ensembl:snRNA U6 U6 spliceosomal RNA
GUGUGGCUUCAGUUGUACAUAUAGUAAAAUUGAAACAACGUUGAGAAGAUCAGCAAGGUCCCUACACAAGGAUGACAUACAAAUAUGUAAAGUGUUGCAUAUUUCU